AUAUCUCUCCGUACGGGAAGGAUGAGAAGCUUCGACUAAGGUUCGAUUCGAGCGAAAGCGAGAAA
rnacentral:sRNA from 1 species